rnacentral:rRNA from 1 species
GAUGAACGCUGGCGGCGUGCCUAAUACAUGCAAGUCGAGCGAACGGACGAGAAGCUUGCUUCUCUGAUGUUAGCGGCGGACGGGUGAGUAACACGUGGAUAACCUACCUAUAAGACUGGGAUAACUUCGGGAAACCGUAGCUAAUACCGGAUAAUAUUUUGAACCGCAUGGUUCAAAAGUGAAAGACGGUCUUGCUGUCACUUAUAGAUGGAUCCGCGCUGCAUUAGCUAGUUGGUAAGGUAACGGCUAACCAAGGCAACGAUGCAUAGCCGACCUGAGAGGGUGAUCGGCCACACUGGAACUGAGACACGGUCCAGACUCCUACGGGAGGCAGCAGUAGGGAAUCUUCCGCAAUGGGCGAAAGCCUGACGGAGCAACGCCGCGUGAGUGAUGAAGGUCUUCGGAUCGUAAAACUCUGUUAUUAGGGAAGAACAUAUGUGUAAGUAACUGUGCACAUCUUGACGGUACCUAAUCAGAAAGCCACGGCUAACUACGUGCCAGCAGCCGCGGUAAUACGUAGGUGGCAAGCGUUAUCCGGAAUUAUUGGGCGUAAAGCGCGCGUAGGCGGUUUUUUAAGUCUGAUGUGAAAGCCCACGGCUCAACCGUGGAGGGUCAUUGGAAACUGGAAAACUUGAGUGCAGAAGAGGAAAGUGGAAUUCCAUGUGUAGCGGUGAAAUGCGCAGAGAUAUGGAGGAACACCAGUGGCGAAGGCGACUUUCUGGUCUGUAACUGACGCUGAUGUGCGAAAGCGUGGGGAUCAAACAGG